rnacentral:tRNA from 1 species
UACAUCUUGGUGUAUGGUGCACGGCAGCUUUUGAUGUUGUAUGGUAAUAGUUUGAUUCUGUUAGAUGUAA